rnacentral:rRNA from 1 species
UGGGGAACUUUGGACAAUGGGCGCAAGCCUGAUCCAGCCAUGCCGCGUGAGUGAAGAAGGCCUUCGGGUUGUAAAGCUCUUUCGGCGGGGAAGAAAUCGCACUAGUUAAUACCUGGUGUGGAUGACGGUACCCGAAUAAGAAGCACCGGCUAACUACGUGCCAGCAGCCGCGGUAAUACGGAGGGUGCGAGCGUUAAUCGGAAUUACUGGGCGUAAAGCGUGCGUAGGCGGCUCGUUAAGUCAGAUGUGAAAGCCCUGGGCUCAACCUGGGAACUGCAUUUGAAACUGGCGAGCUAGAGUUUGAGAGAGGUAAGUGGAAUUUCAGGUGUAGCGGUGAAAUGCGUAGAGAUCUGAAGGAACACCAGUGGCGAAGGCGGCUACCUGGACAGAUACUGACGCUGAGGCGCGAGAGCGUGGGGAGCAAACAGG